rnacentral:ncRNA from 2 species
UUAUCGAAAAGAGGUUGCGGAUGAUAUGAGUAGCUGCAGUGAGAUGAUAAAGCAUCGCUGACCUGUAGUCAAAGGAGAUUCCGCCGAAGUUUGAAUUUGCUUUAUAAUUUUCAAGCUGGGAUCUGAUUGAAAAAAUCAGGAACUGUCGCAAUUGAUAGAUUGCGGAGCGCUGUCGAGUUU